rnacentral:rRNA from 1 species
UACGGGGGGAGCAAGCGUUGUUCGGAUUUACUGGGCGUAAAGGGUCCGUAGGCGGUUUAGUAAGUCAGUGGUGAAAGCCCAUCGCUCAACGGUGGAACGGCCAUUGAUACUGCUAGACUUGAAUUAUUAGGAAGUAACUAGAAUAUGUAGUGUAGCGGUGAAAUGCUUAGAGAUUACAUGGAAUACCAAUUGCGAAGGCAGGUUACUACUAAUGGAUUGACGCUGAUGGACGAAAGCGUGGGUAGCGAACAGG